UACAGAGGUCCCGAGCGUUGUUCGGAUUCACUGGGCGUAAAGGGUGCGUAGGUGGUGGGAUAAGUCGGAUGUGAAAUCUCGGAGCUUAACUCCGAAACUGCAUUGGAAACUGUCCUGCUAGAGGGUUGGAGGGGGGACUGGAAUACUUGGUGUAGCAGUGAAAUGCGUAGAUAUCAAGUGGAACACCGGUGGCGAAGGCGAGUCCCUGGACAACACCUGACACUGAGGCACGAAAGCUAGGGGGAGCAAACAGG
rnacentral:rRNA from 1 species